rnacentral:misc_RNA from 1 species
GAAAUGCGAUAAGUAGUGUGAAUUGCAGAAUUCAGUGAAUCAUCGAAUCUUUGAACGCACAUUGCGCCCCUUGGUAUUCCAUGGGGCAUGCCUGUUCGAGCGUCAUUUGUACCCUCAAGCUCUGCUUGGUGUUGGGUGUUUGUCCCCGUCACCGCGCGUGGACUCGCCCCAAAGUGAUUGGCAGCCGGCGUACUGGUCCCGGAGCGCAGCACAUGUCGCGCAAACGAGUGCCUUGGUACGGCGGCGUCCAUAAGCCCCUCUCUCACGCUCUUGACCUCGGAUCAGGUAGGGAUACCCGCUGAACUUAAGC